CGCAUCCUGUUAGCGGCGGACUGGUGAGUACGCGUGGGUGACCUACCAUAAGGAAGGGGAUAGCUGUAAGAAAUAGCACGGUAAUACCGAAUACGUUUGCCAUGCUGCGGCAAGGCAAAGAAAGGGGCUUCGUGCCCCGCCCUGGAUGGGCCCGCGUCCCAUUAGCUGGUUGGGGGUGUAACGUGACCACCAAGCGAAGAUGGGUAGCCGGCCUGAGAGGGCGAACGGCACACUGGGACUGAGAUACGGCCCAGACUCCUACGGGAGGCAGCAGCUAAGAAUAUUCCGCAAUGGACGAAAGUCUGACGGAGCGACGCCGCGUGAACGAGGAAGGCCGAAAGGUUGUAAAGUUCUUUUAGCGGAUGAAGAAUAAGCGGUGGAGGGAAUGCCAUCGUGAUGACAUUAGUCCGUGAAUAAGACCCCGGAUAAUUACGUGC
rnacentral:rRNA from 1 species